rnacentral:rRNA from 1 species
GGCCUAACACAUGCAAGUCGAACGGUAGCACAGAGAGCUUGCUCUCGGGUGGCGAGUGGCGGACGGGUGAGUAAUGUCUGGGAAACUGCCUGAUGGAGGGGGAUAACUACUGGAAACGGUAGCUAAUACCGCAUAACGUCGCAAGACCAAAGAGGGGGACCUUCGGGCCUCUUGCCAUCAGAUGUGCCCAGAUGGGAUUAGCUAGUAGGUGGGGUAACGGCUCACCUAGGCGACGAUCCCUAGCUGGUCUGAGAGGAUGACCAGCCACACUGGAACUGAGACACGGUCCAGACUCCUACGGGAGGCAGCAGUGGGGAAUAUUGCACAAUGGGCGCAAGCCUGAUGCAGCCAUGCCGCGUGUAUGAAGAAGGCCUUCGGGUUGUAAAGUACUUUCAGCGGGGAGGAAGGUGUUGUGGUUAAUAACCACAGCAAUUGACGUUACCCGCAGAAGAAGCACCGGCUAACUCCGUGCCAGCAGCCGCGGUAAUACGGAGGGUGCAAGCGUUAAUCGGAAUUACUGGGCGUAAAGCGCACGCAGGCGGUCUGUCAAGUCGGAUGUGAAAUCCCCGGGCUCAACCUGGGAACUGCAUUCGAAACUGGCAGGCUAGAGUCUUGUAGAGGGGGGUAGAAUUCCAGGUGUAGCGGUGAAAUGCGUAGAGAUCUGGAGGAAUACCGGUGGCGAAGGCGGCCCCCUGGACAAAGACUGACGCUCAGGUGCGAAAGCGUGGGGAGCAAACAGGAUUA